UGGGGAAUAUUGCGCAAUGGGGGAAACCCUGACGCAGCAACGCCGCGUGAAGGAAGAAGGCCUUCGGGUUGUAAACUUCUAUCGACAGGGACGAAUAAUGACGGUACCUGAGUAAGAAGCACCGGCUAACUACGUGCCAGCAGCCGCGGUAAUACGUAGGGUGCAAGCGUUAUCCGGAAUUACUGGGUGUAAAGGGUGAGUAGGCGGCUUUGCAAGUCAUAUGUGAAAAUCUUAGGCUUAACCUAAGACCUGCAUAAGAAACUGCAAGGCUAGAGUGCAGGAGAGGUAAGCGGAAUUCCUAGUGUAGCGGUGAAAUGCGUAGAUAUUAGGAAGAACACCAGUGGCGAAGGCGGCUUACUGGACUGUAACUGACGCUGAGUCACGAAAGCGUGGGGAGCGAACA
rnacentral:rRNA from 1 species